UUUUUUUUUUUUUUCAUAUUACUACUUCUGGUGUCUAAUCUCUCAUUUAGGACUAGUUUGAGUACCUCUCUGCUAUAUUUCUCUGAGAAAUACAAUUCUAUAAACAGAAGAAGCUAACAUCAAGUCUUUGUAUUCCUUCCUGUCAGGAUGGUUCUUCUUUGAGGUACAAGUCAUUGUAAUAAGGCAGUCAAGAUCCAUUUUGUAUACAAAAAUGCAAUUAUUAACCACUUCCUUAAUUGUCAACAUGAUCAGGACUGCAAUUCCACACAAUAUACCUCCUCUGUCCUUAUUUAACUUAGCUGCUGUGCCCACAGUGAAGCAGAGACCACUCCAAAAUGCCUUCAAUGUUAAUUGGAUGCCAGCAAUUGUCCUUAGGGAGCUCUGAAACCCCUCCCAAAGCAGGGCUGUGUAGAUUGGUCCCUUCAUAUUUGCCAACAGACAUAGCCUCUGGCAAGGGCUCAGCUGCACUGGUGUGGAAGGACCCUCCUGUAGCCAUCACACUGGCACUCUGCAAGGGCACUACCUUAUGGUAAAAAAAAUAACGUGGGGGGACUACUUGUAGGGUUUUUUGCAGUAAAAAUGCAACAUUGCAAAUAGACUCUGUUGUAGUCCACUCAUUUUGUGUGGUGAUGAAAACUUGCUGCUGCUGCUCAGACUCAUGCAUCGGCAAAGGCAUUUUGGAAUGCUGAAGCAGGACCAUAUUUGGCCACUUCUCUUCAUAGUCCCUGUCUGGUUGUAGAGAAUGCUUUUGCAUCCUGUUAACAUUUCCUGACUGCUGUUUAGCAUGCAUUAGAAAGCUCUACUUCCAUUUUCAGAGUUGUCAAACAGCCUUAAAGAGAUGCUGACCAUUUUGGAAAAGAAAGAGAAAAUCAGCCUUUCAAAACAACUAAAGUCAGUCUCCAUGCACAGGGUAAUUUCAACACAUCCCUAAGGAAAUAAGGGUAUAUGCUAAGAAACAAAGCAUCUUAUUAUGGUCCUUGAUAAAACAAGGGGACAAUUUAGAAUUUACCACAGCAGUCUUGAAGCUUUUCAUGCUGAAAAGGCUAAGUGAUGGAGACAGGACAGAGGAGAGUAAGUAGCAAGUGUACAUAAAACUUUUCAUCUGCCCCUAAAAUCUAAGGGAAAACAAAGGUGGAGACCAAUAAAUCUCCACAAAUUCUUUGUACUUAACAGACCAAGUAAUUUCCCUCAGUCAUUUCAUGAGAUGUCUUUUUAAAAGUCACGUUCAGCUUCAGAAAUAAAUGUCUAUUUGCCAGUACUCAUACCAGCCACACUUCUAGUGGCUGUUUGUUAUGUAUUGUUGCUGUAGUUCUCUAGGGUCCCAGCUGGCCUUUUCUGUUUUCCUGAAAGAGUGGGAGAGGCUUUGACUCUUUGAAGUUAUGUCUCAAUUCACUUGCUUCAGGGUGCAGCAGUGCCAAAGAAGUCCCUGCCUGUGACUACUCUCCCAUUAGGAUGCAAAGCCUUCUCAGUCCUGUGGAACUGCACACCUCAGUCCAGCC
rnacentral:lncRNA from 1 species